GCUUGCUUUUUUGAGACCGGCGCACGGGUGAGUAACGCGUAUGCAACCUACCUUAUACAGGGGAAUAGCCCGAAGAAAUUCGGAUUAAUGCUCCAUGGUUUAUCGAUAUGGCAUCGUAUUGAUAAUAAAGAUUUAUCGGUAUAAGAUGGGCAUGCGUAUCAUUAGCUAGUUGGUGUGGUAACGGCAUACCAAGGCAACGAUGAUUAGGGGUCCUGAGAGGGAGAUCCCCCACACUGGUACUGAGACACGGACCAGACUCCUACGGGAGGCAGCAGUGAGGAAUAUUGGUCAAUGGAGGCAACUCUGAACCAGCCAUGCCGCGUGCAGGAUGACGGUCCUAUGGAUUGUAAACUGCUUUUGUACAGGAAGAAACCUCCCUACGAGUAGGGACUUGACGGUACUGUAAGAAUAAGGAUCGGCUAACUCCGUGCCAGCAGCCGCGGUAAUACGGAGGAUCCGAGCGUUAUCCGGAAUUAUUGGGUUUAAAGGGUUCGUAGGCGGCUUUGUAAGUCAGUGGUGAAAUUUCCUAGCUUAACUAGGACACUGCCAUUGAUACUGCAGAGCUUGAAUAGUAUGGAAGUAACUAGAAUAUGUAGUGUAGCGGUGAAAUGCUUAGAUAUUACAUGGAAUACCAAUUGCGAAGGCAGGUUACUACGUAUUUAUUGACGCUGAUGAACGAAAGCGUGGGGAGCGAACAGGAUUAGAUACCCUGGUAGUCCACGCCGUAAACGAUGGAUACUAGCUGUUCGGUUUUCGGACUGAGUGGCUAAGCGAAAGUGAUAAGUAUCCCACCUGGGGAGUACGUUCGCAAGAAUGAAACUCAAAGGAAUUGACGGGGGCCCGCACAAGCGGUGGAGCAUGUGGUUUAAUUCGAUGAUACGCGAGGAACCUUACCAGGGCUUAAAUGUAGAUUGACAGAUUUGGAAACAGAUUUUUCUUCGGACAAUUUACAAGGUGCUGCAUGGUUGUCGUCAGCUCGUGCCGUGAGGUGUCAGGUUAAGUCCUAUAACGAGCGCAACCCCUAUUGUUAGUUACCAGCGCGUAGUGGCGGGGACUCUAGCAAGACUGCCGGUGCAAACCGUGAGGAAGGUGGGGAUGACGUCAAAUCAUCACGGCCCUUACGUCCUGGGCUACACACGUGCUACAAUGGCAAGUACAGAAAGCAGCUACCUGGCAACAGGAUGCGAAUCUCCAAAGCUUGUCUCAGUUCGGAUUGGAGUCUGCAACUCGACUCUAUGAAGCUGGAAUCGCUAGUAAUCGGAUAUCAGCCAUGAUCCGGUGAAUACGUUCCCGGGCCUUGUACACAC
rnacentral:rRNA from 1 species